CCUACGGGGGGCUGCAGUGGGGAAUUUUGGACAAUGGGCGAAAGCCUGAUCCAGCCAUUCCGCGUGAGUGAAGAAGGCCUUCGGGUUGUAAAGCUCUUUCGCAAGGGAAGAAAACUUACAUUCUAAUAAAGUGUGAGGCUGACGGUACCUUGAUAAGAAGCACCGGCUAACUACGUGCCAGCAGCCGCGGUAAUACGUAGGGUGCGAGCGUUAAUCGGAAUUACUGGGCGUAAAGCGGGCGCAGGCGGUUUGGGAAGUCAGAUGUGAAAUCCCCGAGCUCAACUUGGGAACUUCGUUUGAAACUGCCAGACUAGAAUAUGUCAGAGGGGGGUAGAAUUCCACGUGUAGCAGUGAAAUGCGUAGAGAUGUGGAGGAAUACCAAUGGCGAAGGCAGCCCCCUGGGAUAAUAUUGACGCUCAUGCACGAAAGCGUGGGGAGCAAACAGGAUUAGAUACCCCUGUAGUCUGC
rnacentral:rRNA from 1 species